UGGGGAAUUUUGGACAAUGGGCGAAAGCCUGAUCCAGCCACGCCGCGUGUGUGAAGAAGGUCUUCGGAUUGUAAAGCACUUUAAGUUGGGAGGAAGGGCAGUAAGCGAAUACCUUGCUGUUUUGACGUUACCGCCAGAAUAAGCACCGGCUAACUCUGUGCCAGCAGCCGCGGUAAUACAGAGGGUGCAAGCGUUAAUCGGAAUUACUGGGCGUAAAGCGCGCGUAGGUGGUUCGUUAAGUUGAAUGUGAAAGCCCCGGGCUCAAACCGGGAACUGCAUCCAAAACUGGCGAGCUAGAGUAGGGCAGAGGGUGGUGGAAUUUCCUGUGUAGCGGUGAAAUGCGUAGAUAUAGGAAGGAACACCAGUGGCGAAGGCGACCACCUGGGGUGAUACUGACACUGAGGUGCGAAAGCGUGGGGAGCAAACAGG
rnacentral:rRNA from 1 species